CUCCGCUCACUCCCUCUACUAUCUCUCUCUCUCUCUCUCAUUAACCUCCUCCACCACCUCGCCGGCGCUAUCACCUGUACCCGCAAGCUCUCUCUCUCUCCUCCUUCCUCUCCAUCCCUCUUUCCACGGUCACCAUCGCCUUCCUCUCCGCUCACUCCCGCUAUUAUCUCUCUCUCAUUAACCACCUCCAACAGCUCGCUGUCGCUAUCACCUGUACCCGCAAGCUCUCUCUCUCUCUCUCUCUAGCUCUCGAGCUCUCUAAGAUCUCGGAAGAUUUCAAUCUGGCAACUCAUCCUCUACAACAGGUUUUAAUCUGAAUUCAUCGCGUUAAUGAUGGGUGGAGAUUUGGGGAUACCUGCGUUCCCUGAAGAAGACUGCAUUCUUCAAGAGUGAGAUUCGGAGGAGGUUGUUUGUGAUGGCAGUACUGAUCAAUUGUGAUUAGUCGUGUUGGUUAUUUCAUUCCUCUACCUGGGUUUGAUAGAAGGUUGAUACCUCAGCAUUAUCUCAGCUUUGUCGCGAGAUUAGUUGAUGAGCUCGGUGAUUUUACAGCAGAGCUUAAAAUGUCCUUGUUCCAGCUUGGAAUCAGUCCUCAAAUUAUAGCAUCAAUUAUAAUCACUCCUCCCUCUCUCUCUCGUCUGUGCUUUUCUUUCUUGUCUAAUGAACUAGACGAAUGCAAUAGCUAAACAAGGUUCUUUUGCGAAAGUCUAGGAACCAGUAUACUUGGAAAGGGUUUGGGGCAAUCCCUAAUGCUUUACAAGAGCUAAAGGAAGAGGGUCUGAAAGAGAACUUCAAUACUUUCCACGGCAAUUUCCAGGGCAAUGAUGAUCCAAAAUGUUUGCAGGGUUCAGAUGAUGAGGAAGGUGAUGAGAGUGGUCAUGCAGCCGGGAGUCAGAAUGAGAACCCCAGUGUCAAUCCCAAAUCUUCAGGAAACUCGAAAAAUGGUAUAUUAUAUCACUUCAUUGACAUGCAAUGUAUCAUAUGGUCCUACAGUGCAAUCAAUAUGAACUGUGAUCAAGUCUAUUAUUGCUUGAAGAACACUUAAUUACCAGCAAUAUUUGGCUGCCAAAGAAUUGAAUAAGCAAUCUUGGAGAUACCACAGGAAAUACAACAUACACUUGGUUUCUAUGACACGAAGAGCCAAAAGUUGCUACUGAUGAAUAUGAAUAGGGUACAUAUGUGUACUUUGAUUUCCAUAUUGCCAAUGAUGAUCUACAACAUGGAUGGUACGAUUUAGAGUUUGUAUUUGGGAUUUCGGAAUUCAUUUGUGCUUCUUGAAUUUGGAUCCGUAUUAGUGAUGAAUUUCAUGUUCUAGUUUUUUUAAAUUCAAUGUG